CUGCUACAGCAUGGGCUUCUAAAACCUAUAAACUCUCCUUACAAUUCCCCCAUUUUACCUGUCCAAAAACCGGAUAAGUCUUACAGAUUAGUUCAGGAUCUGCGUCUUAUCAACCAAAUUGUUUUGCCUAUCCACCCUGUGGUGCCCAACCCGUACACUCUUUUGUCCUCAAUACCUUCCUCCACAACUCACUAUUCCAUGCUUGAUCUUAAAGAUGCUUUUUUCACUAUUCCCCUGCACCCCUCGUCCCAGCCUCU
rnacentral:lncRNA from 10 species